rnacentral:sRNA from 1 species
UCCAUCCUAAGUCAGCAGCAGAGCGUGCCUGGGGCGUGAGCAGUUGGAGGGACCGACCAGUGGAGUGUGCGUGUCGGAAGGCAGUCUACCCAGUCAUGAGUGGCUACCACACUGGCUACUAUAUGGGUUUCAGACAAAAUAAAAAAGAAGGAAAGUGCUCACAUACAAAUUAAGAAGUUCAGCUCUGUCUCAGGAGAUGGG